GGGACCCGUCUUGAAACACGGACCAAGGAGUCUAGCAUGUGCGCGAGUCAUUGGGACUCAGACGAAACCUAAAGGCGCAAUGAAAGUGAAGGUCCGCCCUGCGCGGACCGAGGGAGGAUGGACUUUCCCGCGGGAUCGUCUCGCACUCCCGGGGCGUCUCGUUCUCAUCGCGAGAAGAGGCGCACCCAGAGCGUACACGCUGGGACCCGAAAGAUGGUGAACUAUGCCUGGUCAGGACGAAGUCAGGGGAAACCCUGAUGGAGGUCCGUAGCGAUUCUGACGUGCAAAUCGAUCGUCGGAACUGGGUAUAGGGGCGAAAGACUAAUCGAACCAUCUAGUAGCUGGUUCCCUCCGAAGUUUCCCUCAGGAUAGCUGGCGCUCGCUUCUCGCGAGUCUCAUUCGGUAAAGCGAAUGAUUAGAGGCAUUGGGGUCGAAACGGCCUCAACCUAUUCUCAAACUUUAAAUGGGUGAGAUCUCCGGCUUGCUUGAACUGUGAAGCCGCGAGAUAUCGGAUCAGAGUGCCAAGUGGGCCACUUUUGGUAAGCAGAACUGGCGCUGUGGGAUGAACCAAACGCCGAGUUAAAGCGCCUAAAUCGACGCUUAUGGGAUACCAUGAAAGGCGUUGGUAACUUAAGACAGCAGGACGGUGGCCAUGGAAGUCGGAAUCCGCUAAGGAGUGUGUAAA
rnacentral:rRNA from 1 species